GCGAGAGUGGUGAAACUGGUAGACACGCCAGACUUAGGAUCUGGUGCCUUUGGCCUAAGGGUUCGAGUCCCUUCUCUCGCA
rnacentral:tRNA from 1 species